GAUUAACGCUGGCGGCGUGCAUAACACAUUCAAGUCGAACGGAGUAUAGAAAUAUACUUAGUGGCGGACGGGUGAGUAACGCGUGAGCAAUCUACCUUCGGGUGAGGGAUAACAACCGGAAACAGUUGCUAAUACCUCAUGAAAUGGCAGUACCGCAUGGUACAACCAUCAAAGGCUUGCUGCCCGAAGAUGAGCUUGCGUCUGAUUAGGUAGUUGGUGGGGUAGCGGCUCACCAAGCCGACGAUCAGUAGCCGGACUGAGAGGUUGAACGGCCACAUUGGAACUGAGAUACGGUCCAG
rnacentral:rRNA from 1 species